UCCCUCCGCUGCAGGAAGAGCCUGAAAGUCAAAGAUCCGCGGAGGAAAGGCUGAUAGUUUGAUCGUCUCUCCUGAUGCAGGAAACUUUUCUGCUGUUCAUAAAUAAAUAAUUGUUGUCUGGAUGUAGCUAUGAGAUGGAGACCCAGAUCACCUUUAUUUGCUUAUUUCUAGUGAUUCUGGGAUUUUCUGCUGGUCAGGAAGAGAAGGAGAAUCUGACAGGAAUCGUUGGAGGAACCAUCACUCUACCUGGGGCUGUCACUGAGAAAGGAUAUCUUUUAUAUAACGGAAAAAACAUUGCUUCAGUGUUUAAAGGUGAAUUUGAUAUUGAUGUGAACAUUUACAAGAACAAACUUCAGUGGAACCGAAGCUCUGGACUCUUUACGAUCACAAACCUGCAGAAGAACGACUCAGGAACCUAUACAGUUCAAAAAGGCGAAUUUUCUUCUUCAUAUAAGCUUCAAGUUUAUGAUCCAGCACCGACUCCUGCAGUAACACCAGUUAAUGUGACCUCUGACCCCUGCCUGUUGAUCUGCUCUGUGGACAAACCAGCGACUCUGCUGUGGAUCAGAGACAAAGAAAUACAGAACCAGAGCCGCUCUGCUCUGUCUUUACCUGUUACUGUCCAUACAGAGGAUAGAGAUUCAUCAUAUAGAUGUGUAGCAGCCAAUCCUGCAGAGAACAAGACUGUUGAUGUUAAUUUAAUGUCAUCCUGUGGAUUCAAACAAACACAAACUCUGGAUUAUAGAAGAACAUAUUGGAUUGCAGGUGGUCUCUGCAUUGGGUUUAUUGUAUUGAUUGGUUUUGGAUUCCUGCUGAUCCAGAAGAAGUUUCUGGUCCAAAAAUCAUCAGGCAGUCAAACACAAGGCAGAAGAAGAGAAAACCGGAGCUGCUGGCGCCCAGGAAACAGAACAAAACCUUUAAAACUCAGGAUUACCAUUUGAUUUGUUUGUUGGAAACUUUGGUAAAGUAAAACCGUUUAUCUUUAAAUUUAACCUGAUGACUAACAUGGCUGCUUGGGGAUUCAGGAAGCAGAUAUUAUUUAUUAUUUAUUAUCCUCUGGAGCUUUAAACUGUUUUCUUUGGUUUUUCUGGGAGGUAAAAGAUUUUCUCCUUUUUAACAUCUUCAGUUUUUAACUAACAAAGUUACUUUAUUUACUCUUUUAACAACAUGUUUUCUCAACCUGAUUUUUCUGAUUGAAAAUAAACAAAACAUUGAACUUUAUAAAUAUGGUUAAGAUUAAAAAUGUUUGUUUCUGGCUUUUUGCUCAGUUUCAGUUAAAAAUUCAAAGUUUGAUUCAUUUUCAUCUUAUGAGGUUAAACAGAGCAGAUGGAGUUUCCAGAUCUUUUAAUGAAACUAUUUAAAAUCCAGUUAUAUUUAAUCAAAGACGCUGCAGUUUAACAUUUUCCUCAUGUUUCCUCAGAAUCAUCAUUAAAGUUCAUUUUAGUUAAAGCAGGCCUCCAGUGACUGUAGCAAACUGGUGGUACUGGGAGCAGGACGGGCGGAGCUGUGGAGGAAAUGGUUUUCCUGACUGAAAACAGGAAGGAAGCGACCAAUCAGCUGCCUCAGAUUCUCUGCUUCCUGUUUUUAAUCUGGCAGGAAAUGACAGAGAACAUGAUGAUGGACAUUUGUGAUGUUUACACUGGAUUAACUGGAUAAACUGGAGACCAGACUGCUGUAUCAUAACGAACCUUCUGGGUGAAUCAAUUAGAUAUAAAACCUGAAUUAAAUAUUAAAACUUUCAUGUUUCAGUAACAGAUCAUUCCUGGAUCUGUUCAGAACCAGAAUUUUUUUACUUUCUGGAUUGUUUUUGUCAGGUUCAGAUUUUAAUCUGUUCAUCAGUGAAGAUCCACCAGGCUGGCUGCUGAGUCCAGUUCAGACUAGAGUUCAGUCCAGUUUCUUUCUUCACCUGUUUUUGUUUCUCUAAACUGUUUCUGUCUCAUCUCUGCUGCUUCUUCACUGGGAAAUUAUCUCAGUUUAGCUUCAUUUGUUUGGUUGGUUUUUAACAACAAAAUUCACUUUUAUUUCAGCAGGUUCAGUAAGAGAAGAGGAAGUCCAGUAUACGCCAAUUCAUUUUAAGGAUAAAAGACAAAAUCAGGGAGAAAAUAUUCCAGAACCAUCAGGAAGCAGCGACAACAAUCUGACAACAGUUUAUGCUAAACUGGAGCCUCCAACCACAGACCAGAACCUGCUAAC